UAACCUCAUGUUUUGGUAACACACAUCUCUGAGACGAAGGACCCAAGUCACAGAGAAAAAUGAAGUUCCUGUAUCAAACUGCUGGCCAGAUUCUCAUUACUCUGGGGAGUCUCAGUGUAUUUUCUGGAGUUAUUGCUUUCUUCCCUGUCUUUUCUUACAAGCUUUGGUUCACAGGAUGGAGUGUGUGGAUCGCUUGUCCUAUCUGGAAUGGAGCUUUGGCCACCACAGCUGGCAUACUUCUACUACUGUCUUCCAAACAGUGGACACAAAGAUACCUGUGGGAAGCUUGUUUCACCUUUGUGACUCUGAGCAUUAUGGGAUGUCCACUUCAUUUUGCAGUUGCCUUGGAAUCUGCUCUCCUUGGCCCCUAUUGCUUCUACUCAUUUUCAGGGGUUGCAGGGACCAAUUACCUUGGUUAUGCAGUUGCCUUUCCUUUUCCAUACACAAAAUUCCCAUCAGUUUGUGUGGACCCACUCCACUAUGAAGAAUACCACCUGACGCUUCAAGCCAUUGACCUGUGCCUGAGCUUUGCUCUGUUCUGUGCAUCGCUGACAGUGUUCAUCAAGAUUGCUACAAGACUAAUCCAGAAUGGACACAUCAAUCAUUUCACAGCUGAAAGCUAAGACCACUGCACUGUACUACAUACUCCCAAGGCCACCGAUCUCCUGAAUGUCUGUGGUCAGAAGACUGGACAGUAAAUUCAGCCCUGUGUCCCUCCCCUUGAACCUGCCUCGUUUGUAGUUGUCACUUUGAAAUAUCUACAAAAUAAUUUUGAUCUUUAAACUUUUUUCCUCUGUGUUCUUAAAAGAAUAAAAAUUGAAACUGUUGUACAAGUUGGCCCUUUUUAAUUGCUAACAUUUACAAUUUCCAUAUUAUGAUGUCAAAAAUGAAAUUAUAUUGUUGUCAUCAUAGAAAUGUUAAAAUCUGCAAUAUAAAUUUUCAUGAGUGAAUGUU